AUUGAACGCUGGCGGCAGGCCUAACACAUGCAAGUCGAACGAGGGGCGGACGGGUGAGUAAUGUCUGGGAAACUGCCUGAUGGAGGGGGAUAACUACGGGAAACGGUAGCUAAUACCGUAUACCCUCGGAUGUGCCCAUAUGGGAUUAGCUAGUAGGUGGGGUAACGUCUCACCUAGGCGACGAUCCCUAUCUGGUCUGAGAGGAUGACCAGCCACACUGGAACUGAGACACGGUCCAGACUCCUACGGGAGGCAGCAGUGGGGAAUAUUGCACAAUGGGCGCAAGCCUGAUGCAGCCAUGCCGCGUGUGUGAAGAAGGCCUUCGGGUUGUAAAGUACUUUCAGCGGGGAGGCGUUACCCGCAGAAGAAGCACCGGCUAACUCCGUGCCAGCAGCCGCGGUAAUAC
rnacentral:rRNA from 1 species